ensembl:lncRNA
AUUUAUUCCUCCUGCCCACAUUAGAAAAUGGGUUGCUUUUAAAACCAUUGUAUUUGUUGUUGGUGGGUUUUCACUGAGGACUGCGUGCUUUGCUACAAUUUGGAUGAAACAACUUACUGAGAAAUUGGAGGCAGAUGAAAAUAGCAUCUUGCACAGCUGUCCUUUCGGUGGCUAUUUAAGUACAUAGUAAGUGAAGUCAUAGCACAAAUAGUCAUGUGAGUAGCCAUCAUAUGACACGAACCCAAAUAGCUUUAUUACUACAAUUCUAAAUUCAAAUGAGUCAAAAUAAGCCACAGUGUGUUCCCAGAGUAUCUAGUGCCAUUUACAUCUGCUGACUCUGGAGUGGAGAUCAUCACCCUAACAGGCUUAAAAAGGUUCUCAGAGAUUCUGAUUUGAGUGGUCCAAGGUGGUGCCUGAGCAUUUUAGAAGAUUCUUAGGUCAUUUUUCUGAGCAGCCACCGAUUUAGAAGGAAAGCUGUGUAAACUCCGGUCUCUAGAUAAGAGAAAUCAAAGAAGUUGGGAGAAUGGAAAAGAUCAUUAGGCACAAAUAAAAGAUGGUGUACCGGGGCUGGCCCCGUGGCCGAGUGGUUGAGUUCGCGUGCUCCGCUGCAGGCGGCCCAGUGUUUCAUUGGUUCGAAUCCUGGGCGCGGACAUGGCGCUGCUCAUCAGACCACGCUGAGGCAGCGUCCCACAUACCACAGCUAGAGGAACCCACAACGAAGAAUAUACAACUAUGUACCAGGGGGCUUUGGGGAGAAAAAGGAAAUAAUAAAAUCUUAAAAAAAAAAAAAAAAAAAGAUGGUGUACCAGGGGAAAUGAAAAAUAAACCAUGAAUGAUUAGAGUAAAAGUGGAAAGCAUGCGAGCUCUGCCGGGACCCACAGCCUUGCUCUGAGGCAUCAGAGUGAAACUUUGUUCAUGGAGGGUGGUGUGCUAGAACCAUGAGGCCACGCUCCCGGCAUCCUCUGGGAUGGUGACCAGCAUUCUGUGUUCAUUUCUAGGCUCCAGACACAAGAAGGCUGGACGGCACUUUGAUGGGAGGCUGCGGCUGAAAAAGAGAAAUAAAGAUGACGAAAGGGGAUUACAGGGAGACCUUUGAGCAGAGGUGAAAAAGAGCAGAACUAUUCACCCUGAAAGGAAAGGAAGUCUGAGAGACAACUUAACAACCCUCUUCAGGAUUGUUAAGGCAGAUGAAGGGUUUGCACCCACAGGGCCGUGACCCGCUGUUCUCCACUCUCACUAAAGACCGAAAAAGGAGAACAAAUAUUCCCGUUGGUUGAUAUCUUCACAACAUCUUUGAGAUCCUGAAGGUGCUUGCACAAGGGGUUGAAGUUUAUGCAGGAGAAAAUGCUGUGAGGGUUGUUAAAGCAUCCAACAAAAUUUUCUAGGGAGGUCACAGACUCUUCUUGUAAUGACCAGUCAAAAUAGAACCAUUUUUCGUCAAAUAGGGAUGCUUUAUACAUCACCCUCCCUAAGGACAGGCAAUAGCAGGUGCGCCUCCCAUGUAUACAAGACACUGUUCGAAUUAUCUUUCACUUUCCUAGAUUCAUUCAGUCUAUGAACCAAUCAUUUGAGGUUGCGGGGAAAUAUUCUUUUCCCAUUUUCCAGAUGAGAAAAUGGAGGUUUAAAAAAGUGUAGUGACUUGCCCAAGGUCGCACCGUGAAUUGUGGAGGUAGAGUACAUUCUAGACCUAAUGAUUCUUCGUUUCCAGGACUCUUGCCACACUUGUUGUUCUCAGCCUCUAGUACACAUCAGAAUCACCUACAGGGCUUGUCAAAACACAGUCGGCUGGAUCGCCCCCAGAGUUUCUGAUUCAGUAAGUCUGAGGUGGGGCCUGAGAAUUUGCAUUUCUAAGAAGUUCCCAGGUCGUGCUCAUGCUGCAGUCUGGGAACCAGAGAACCACUGAGCCACCACCAGCCCUGCCGGCCAACCACAUAGGGAAUGGAAAAGAAUUGCAUAAAGGCCUGGGACCCAGAGAAGUUUUAUUUAACUUGAAAAAUCAUCUCCAUGGAGCUCACUAACUUCUGAUCUCCUUUGUUAACUGGACCCGUGUUAGCAGAGCAAAAUAACCCGCCUUCCCAAACAGCUUCCCAGAACAAUAUGACCCGGAGGGGUGGAGGUGGAGCAAGAAAUUGAGAAAUAUUGAGCACUUAUUCUCAUCUGUGGCAGGCACUCUUCAGGGUCUUUUUUUUGGAGGAAGAUUAGCCCUGAGCUAACUACUGCCAGUCCUCCUCUUUUUGCUGAGGAAGACUGGCCCUGAGCUAACAUCCGUGCCCAUCUUCCUUACUUUAUAUGUAAGACACCUGCCACAGCAUGGCUUGAGAAGUGGUGCAUAGGUCUGCACCUGGGAUCCAAACAGGCAAACCCCAGGCCGCCAAAGCAGAAUAUGCGAACUUAACCACUACACCACUGUGCUGGUCCCUAUAAAAAUUUAUUUUAUGUUUGCAGUUAUUCUUUGAUAUAGAAACAUAUUUUCUCAUCUUACAGAUUAAGAAACUGAGGCUCAAGAAUGUCAUACAUGAGGCUGGCCCAGUAGUGCAGCUGUUAAGUUUGCGUGUUCUGCUUCAGCAACCCAGGGUUUGCUGGUUCAAAUCCUGGGUGUGGACCUAUGCACUGCUUGUCAAGCCACACUGUGGCAGGCAUCCCACAUAUAAAGUAAAGGAAGAUGGGCACGGAUGUUAGCACAGGGCCAGUCUUCCUCAACAAAAAGGGGAGGAGUGGCAGCAGAUGUUAGCUCAGGGCUAAUCUUCCUCAAAAAAAAAAAAAAAAAGAAUGUCAUACAACUUGCUUAAGAAAAGAAUUAGACUAUCCAGCUUCAAACUGUAUUUUUCUUUGACAUCAUAGAUUCAAUUAUUUUAGAUCCUUUACCUGAUUUCUGUUAUACUUAUCCUAAUUUUUGUUAGGACCUCGGCACAUUAGUCAAUGUUUCUUUUCCCCUCUUUUCAUGGUUAGUUAUUUCCCCCCAGUCUAUGGCAUUAUACUUAAUUUCUUUUUUAUUCAUAAAGCUCUUUUUUGGACUUUGGUGCCUAAAUCAUUUAGGAUUUGUUAGUUGGCUGAUUCAUUUGAUGCAAAAGACCUACCUGGGAGAAAAUUAGUUGGGUAAAUUGUGGUACAUCCAUGUGAUGAUGUUUUAGUACAUAUUGACAUGGAAAGAUUGUCAUGCUAUAUUUAAUUUUCAAAAAAGCAAGUUAAAAAACAUGCAAAGUAUAUCUUUUCUACAAAAAUAAUCAUAUGUAAACAUAUAUAUGCAUAUGCAAAUGCACACACUACAUUCCAACAUAUAGAAUCAAGAAGAGGCUGCAUCAAAAUGUUUAGAGUGAUGCCGGCUGGGUCCGUGGCCGAGUGGUUAAGUUCACACGCUCCGCGUUGGCAGCCCAGAGCUCACUGGUUCAGAUACUGGGUGUGGACCUACACAUUGUUCAUCAAGCCAUGCUAUGGUAGCAUCCCACAUAGAAGGACUAGAAUGACCUACAACUAGAAUAUACAACUAGGUACUGGGGCUUUGGGGGGUGGGGAAAGAGGAAGUUUGGCAACAGAUGUUAGCUCAGGGCCAACCUUCCUCACCAAAAAAACACUAAAAAAAAAAUGUUAACAGUGAUUAACUCAGAAUGGAGAGACUAUGGGUGACUUUUUAAUUUUCUCCAAUUUGCUUUUCUAAAGUUCGUAAGUUUGCUUCCAUGGCUAUACAUCAUUUUGUGUAAGAAGGCCGUCUUCACCCACCCUUAAAUUUUCCCCUCUUCUCUCUUCACACUGAGUUCUUUACAUGUUCCUGGGGUUUGUUCUCCCAAUUGGAUAUUUAGCUCUAUGUUCUUCUCUAUACCAGAAAAUAAGAGUUCUUUGGGGGCAGAAACUAAAAAACCCUCCCACCCAUGUCCAGUUAGCAAAGCUCCCCGGGGCCCAUAUUUCAUAUGCACAGUGGGAGCACAUCCAAGGGCAUCUGAGAGCUGAACGUAUAUAAUAUUAUUUCUUCAGCACUCCUGGGCUCCACAGGGCAUGCAGAAGAAUGGACUACACCAACUUGUAAAUCGAAAUGAUUUAUAACCAAAACAAACCUACCAUAAUAAAUACUGAUCGAAAUCAAUGAACAAAACUUAUAUGUUGCAGCAGCACCCGAACAACAUUCAAAAAUUAAUAGCUGGCGUUUGAAGCCCUCGGUAGAGUAGUAAAUUCUCUAGCAAUUCUGCGCCCAGGUGAGUCGACUCCAGUGCGCUGUGGACUCACAGCUGUGCGGGUUUGAAGACGGAGGAUGGUGCAGUGUGACGCCCGGGCCCCUCAAGGAACAGGCUCAGGUCCAGGCCUCUUCCGGUAAAGACCUUUCUCCAGUGGGAGAGGGACCACCAGGUGACGCCCCGGGUUGCUAGGUCACAUCUGAUGGCCUGGGUCAAACCACCCACCCAGUUAAAAGGAGUGGGUGGCUAUCUGGUGUCCCCACAAACAGAACCAUCUUUGACCUCCAAUGCCACUGGAGCCAGAAAGGGAAGGAAUUUGUCUUCUUUCAGGUGAGUUUAUGGAAAGGAUGAGGGAGAAAUCAUUCACGGAGCAAAGAGAAACGUUUGAAACCAGAACAUCUCUAAGCCUGCAAAUAAAAAUCUAUGAGUCCUCAGAAUAAGAUCAUGAGGGUGACAGCACUGUCUGACGCAGGUCCCACCCCUUAAGCACUUCAUCUAGGCAACCCCCCUGAGGACAACAAAGGAGCCACCCUCCUUGGGGCCUGCUGGGCCGGCCUGGAGGCUGGUUGCUCUAAAUGGAUGAUUGUUCUCUAAGGAGCUCUCAGGGAGAGCAAAAGUGAGAAAACCAUUUCAUGGUUUCUGUCUGCGAGGGUCAGCCUCUGGCAUUCUUGGCCCUUCUCCUGAGCCCUAUCCAUCACUGUCACUGUUAGACACAUGGGGUGGGAGCUGGGUAUGAACAAAAAAUGACUUCAUGGCCGCUGCCCUGCUGGUUAGGGAACGUGGUAACUAUUUGCAGCUGGGCACCCAAUGGCCAACAGUGAGGUACCAUUUUGCUACAUUUCCUCUGGGGGCUUGAUGAAGAUAUUUCUUCUGAAUUAUAUCUUGGCCCUAUUGCUGUACUGAUUGUAUCGCAGACUCACUUCCUCUCUGAGGUGAUCUCUUGGAACAUAUGAGUGUGGGAGGCUUCUGUUCCCCGCCCCAGCCUGCCUUCCUCCUGUGAAUUAAAUCCACACUUCGGCCCAAGCCUUCAGCAGUGAGCAGGUUAUCCAUGGGGCGUUCUUUCUCCCCUCAGCACUCAGAGGGUCCAGAGUGCAGACUGAAGCCCCGGAAAGACAGGCAGGCAGGACAGCAGUGAACUGGCCAACGUGGCUGUACCUCACAAUCUGAGCACAACAAGACACAAAGUCGCUGUCUAGCCACAGUCUCAUAUUCUGCACUUCCACCUUCUGUGUUUAUAACUCCCAACCCCUCCAUGUGAUCACUGGCCGCCUAUCCCUCCUCCAGAAAGACCCAAGGGAACAGUACCUCACUGAGCUGUCUUCUAGAGUCACAGACUGUUUCUCAUCUCCUGCAUGCUAACUGUAACAUACCUUUGCCCCUCCUGGAACAGAACCAGGGCUUCCUUCUCCCUUCCUGUCCUCCUCCGUCUUGUGGAUCCAUCUGAGAGAAUGUUCACUCCGCCCUUCUACAUUUUCAUCAGACACUCCUUCUUUUGGUAGCAUCACACAGGUCUUCGUUAUCUGCUCGCUCUCUCCUUACCAAUUUCGCAGGGUACACUGUUUUACUUUGAGUUUCUAAAACAGCUCAUGUAGACAGGUACGAGAGAAACAGUCCUAUGGUGUGGAGAGCCUCAACCUCAGCUACUAAAAAUGAAGCUGGAGCAAAACAUUUGAAGAGGUCACCAAAAGAGCUAGAUGGAUGGCAAGCAAGCACAUGAAAAGAUGCUCAAUGUCAGGCCAGCCUCAUGACCUAGUGGUUAAGUUCAGUGCACUCCGCUUUGGCAGCCUGGGUUUGGUUCCCAGGCAUGGAUCUACACCAUUCGUCAGUGGCCAUGCUGUGGCAGCGACCCACAAACGAAAUAGAGGAAGAUGGGCACAGCUGUUAGCUCAGGGCGAAUCUUCCUCAGCAAAAAGAGGAGGAUUGUGAACAGAUGUUAGUUCAGGACAACUCUCACUCAGCAGCAAAAAAAAAAAAAAAAAAAAAGUUCAAUGCCAUCUGUCAUUAGAGAAAUGCAAAUUAAAACCACAGUGUGAGCCCAUCACACACCUAGUAAAAUGCCUUUAAAAGAACAAAACAAGCAAUACCAAUCACUGACAAGGAUGCGAAGCAACUGGAACUCUCAUACACUGCUGGUGGGAAUGUAAAUGGUACAACCACUUUGGAAAACAGCUUGGCAGUUUCUUAUCAAGUAAAACCCACGCAUAUUAUAUCACCCAACAAUCCCACUCCUAACUGAAAUAAACAUCUAUGUUCACGUGGCAACCUUCAUACAAAUGUUCAUGGUGGCUUUAUUCAAAACUGCCCAAAGCUGGAAACAACCCAAAUAUCCUUCUACUGGGAAUGGAUAAACAAAGUGUUGAUCCUACAGUGAAAUAUUACUCAGCAAUGAAAAGUAAUGAGCCACAGAUUCAUGCUACAACAUGUAUGAGCCUCAAAAACAUGCAAAGUGAAAGAAGCCAGACUUGAAAGUCUACAUGCGUAUGUUUCCGUUUAUAUGAUAUUCUUGCAAAGGCAGAAUUUUAGGGACAGAAAACAGAUCAGUGGUUGUCAGGGACUGGGGCUGGGGAGAGCAACUGACUACAAAUGGGCAGGGAGGAAUUCUGGGAGUGAUGGAGCUGUUCCAUAUCUUAAUUAUGGUGGUGGUUAUGCUACUGUCCACGUUUAUUGAAACUCAUGGAACUAUACACUUAGGGUGAAUUUUAUCAUAUGUAAAUUAUAUCUUAAUUUUAAAAAAAUAAAGCCAGAGCUGGAAUCUGUCUUCAAGCAGGCUGUGUAAAUGCCCAUGAUGCCAUGUCUCUAGUCAGCUGUCCUGAAGGGGCAUGUCACUGCUUUUCUCUUCCCCCUCUCUAGGAGAAAGGUCACCUCAGAGCCACUGAGAAUAAUGGCAGCUUUCCUACAGGCUUCUAGCUCUGGAGGAAAUUGCUAUUGCUGCUUAGUUGACAGAGGUGACACUAGUAAAGAAAGUCAGCUUGUGUGGCUGGCUAAAUGUAAUUGGAAGGGGCCCGUCAGAGCUGCCCUUUAUAAACAGUGUCACAGAAUCAGUGGUCACGUAGUAAGUGGCAGUCACUGAUGUUGAACAUGGUCACCAUAAGCCAUUUAACACCAGGAUAACCCCCAGGGAGAAAGUGAUCAGAGGCAGCUCUGCUUACCAUGUGGUCAGCACAUGACAAGCUCAAGAGGGUCCCCAAACCCAGGUUCCCCCCCUCAUGCCUCCCCUUCCCCUGACGCACAGUGCACAGUGCCAUGGGGCCACUGUCCUGGUGAGCAACACCUCACUCUUCAACCACAGAGCUCUCUGACUUUCGCUUAGAAAGCAGAGAGCCAGGCAUGGCUCGGAAUGGACAGGCCUCCACUGUCCCUUGUUUCUCUGAUAAGGGAGGUCUGUUUCAGAGACAGUUUGGGAGUGUGGAUUCCCUCCAUCACAGAAAGCAUGUGUUCCUGGGAGCCAGCCUCCCACUGGCUCUGGAAAGAAUCCUUUGGGCCAGAGAUGGACUGGGGCCUGGAUGGCUCUCCCAGAUGAGUUUCUUCCCAGUUGGCCAAGCCCAGGGCAGGGCCUUAACAAGGCAGGUCAUCUUCCCGCAGUGUGGGGGCCAAAGGGUGGCAGGACUCACCCCACCUCUGGUUUCUACCUCAUCCUGGCUCCAGGUUUCUCUCCAUUAUCUUUUCUCCUCGUCAUUCUUUCCUGGCUCUUGGUUAUUCUGACCAGCAUCUUCUCUCUUUCAAUCUCUAACAGCUUUGUUGAGGUAUAAUUGACAUACAAUAAGCUGCACAUUUUAAAGUGUAUAAUUUGAUAAAUCUUGACAUGUGCAUACAUCCAGGAAUUCAUCACCAGAAUCAAGAUAGAGAACGUAUCUAUCACCCCCAAAAGUUUCCUGGUGCCCCUUUUGUAAUCCCUCCCUCCUGCCUUUGCUUGCCACUCGUUCCCAAGAACCAUGAUCUGCUGUCUGUCACUACAGCUUAGUUUAUAUUUUCUAGAGUUUUAUAUGAAUGCAAUCACACCUUUUGCUCUUUUUUCUUUUUUUUUUUUGGUCUGGUGGCUCUCAGAAAAAUUAUUUUGAGAUUUAUGCAUGUUACAGCAUGUAUCAACAAUUCAUUCCUUUUUAUUGCUGAGUAGUAUUCCAUCAUAUGGCUACACCAUAUGUUAUCCAUUCAUCUCUUGGGGGACAUGUCAAUGUUUCCAGGUUUGGGCAGCCUUUUUCUCAAACCAGCUAGGCUGGAAGUUCUUCAGGAAAUACCCAGAGCUCCUCACUGCCAAGGCUUCUUGCUCUGACCCCUCCUGACCUGCUGCAGUGGAUGCUGUAGGAGUCGUUCCACAGAGCAUGAGAGGAGUUGUGGGGACAGCUGGCCUCACCACACAGCCCCUCUGCCACCCCAUCUCCCUACUGCCUCCAUUCCUCUCAAAUCCUCAAUGCCUCUCAAAUCACACUGCCCCCCGCCUUUUUUUUUUUUUUUUUGAGGAAGAUUAGCCCUGAGCUAACUUUUGCCAAUCCUCCUCUUUUUUUGCUGAGGAAGACUGGCCCUGAGCUAACAUCCGUGCCCAUCUUCCUCUACUUUAUAUGUGGGACACCUGCCCCAGCAUGGCUUGACAAGCAGUGCGUAGGUCUGCACCCGGGAUCCGAACUGGCAAACCCUGGGCCAGUGAAGCAGAAUGUGUGAACUUAACCACUGUGCUACUGGGCUGGCCCCUACAACUGCCCCUUGAUUUGAACCAGAAAGGGAGGUGACCCUAUGAGGACUGGGAGGAAUGGAACGAUUCAAUUGUGACACCUCCCACUGCUUGCCCUUUGAGAAGAAGGCACGUCUCUGCAGAGUGGUAAGCUUCUGACAGCUUUAUAAUACUGGCUCUUGGAACAUGUUUUUAAGAGACCAAUAUAGCAUCUCUAUGGCAGUGCUUCCUAAACUUUGAUGUGGACACAAAUCAUUAUAGGAUCGGGCUAAAAUGCAGAUUCUGAUUCAGUAGGCCUGCAAUGGGGGCCUCAGAUUCUGGAUUUCUAGGAGGAUCCUAGACGAUUUGACAGUGCUGCUCUUCAGACCACACUCUUGGAAGGGGUCCGCCACAGCUGUUUAAUCAUCUAAUAAUUGCUUUUUAACAAGUGUUUAAUUACUACCUAUAAAACUCCACUAAAUACAGGCUAAUCCCAGCCUUCCGUCUCCUGGAGAUCCCCGCAGCUAUCCUGAAUUGGCCAGGGCUGCCUGCUGAGUGCCUCCACGCUCCCUGGAAGCUGGGCCUCCCAUUAGAGCUGGGUGGUGUCAGAUUUUAGAGUGUCAAGAACAGCACCUCCCACUGGCAAAAUAUCUACCGUGUCUCUUGUUUGCUGCCUUAUCCCUUAGUUCCUGGGAAAUAGUAAGUUCUGGAACUAAGACUCUGCCGAAUUGGGUUAUGGGAUAGGCUGAGAGGCGGUAAAAAAGAGAAAAGAAACAAGGGUAUUGAUAGGAAAAAGAGGAGGAACUCCUAAUUGCGUUCCCAAGGCUGAUCCAGCGAGGGGCCCAGGGACUGAAGGGUGGAUCUGAGAUGUGCCGGAAGUCUAAAACCUAGACCUCCAGGAAAACUCCCCAAAUAGGCCUCACCUGGCCCACCACUCUCGUUAAAUGCCCCUGUUCUUCCUUUCAUUGGCUCUCCAUAACUCCCGUGUUUGAGGAAUGGCUGCAUUCAUUUGGCUCAUUCUUCGGGCUGUAUACACGUCACCCAGAGCCUAACUUUAAUGGAAUCUUUUUUCUGUGGGGGCUGACUAUCACAGACUCAUCUGGAAGGGAAAUGUGCUGGCAAUGGGAACUGGAGACCACAGAUCUCUGCGUGUAAAGUUCUGAUAAAGUGAUUCACUCAAUCACGCACAUGAGUGUUUAUCUCCUACCAUGUGCAAGGCACUGUGAGGACAGUCCUUCCCCUCAAGGGAGGAUGACACAUAAGCCCAUAUAUCUAUAUUCACCCCAGUUGGGAGGUACAAAUGAAAUGCUUUCGGAUAUCAGAGAAAAGAAGGAUCACUUCUAGCUAUGGGACAGGGGGAGAAGGCAGCCAGGAGCAGGUGGCAUUGACCUGAAUGAUCGCUAGGAGCUGGGGAGGGGGAAAGUUAGAGAGAGGAUAUUCCAAGCGAAAGGCACAAAGGCAGGAAUGCCUGCUGUCUUUAGAGAAAGGAAGUCACCCAGUCUUUUGUCGGGAGGAAGAGAACAGGAAGGUAUGAAGGGAGGCUGGAGGCCUACCUUGACUCUAUUUCUACCUGAACUGUGUUUGGUGGCUCACUGAGGCUACAGAGUGACAGAACCAAAAUGGAGCUUUAAGGUUGAUCGGCCCCAAUGUGCUUUGAUGGAUGAGAGUGGAGGGAGUCAGGAGAGAAGGAGAAUAGUUAGGAGGCCGCUGUGUCAGUCUAGGCAAGGGCCUCGGCCAGCACAGGGUUCUGCGAACUGAAACGGCGGGCUGAAUGAGAGGGUAGGGAAGAAAGACGCCCCAGGAUUGGGUGACUACGUCAGGGGUAAUGGAGAGAAGGCAGUGAUCACGCUGUGAUUUUGAGUUUUCUGGUAGAAUGACAGCUCCAAACCAUGCGUUUGGAUUUAGUUAAACUGAGGCGUGUAUGUGAAAACGUCCAGCAGGCAGUUAGAAACACAGAUCUGUAGCUUUGAGAGCCAGGGCCUCCUGGAGACACACAUUUAGGUUACUCACAUUGAGGUCUUUCUACAAAUGAGCCAGCAAACAGCUGAGACUCUCUAGUACUCCACACAGUGCUACUCACUGGGGCAACAAAAGUGAGAGAGACAGUCUUCCCUUGUGUAUUCUCGGAGUCGUAGAGGAGACAGGCCCUUCCUGCAAUAACAGAUUCCAGUGCCCGGGGCAAGGGCUGCAGGAGAGGUGUAUUCGGGGUGCUGUGGGGACAUGGCUGCCCGUGGCGAAACCCUGGGGUGGAUGAGAUGGCUGAGGAGGCUGGGGCAGGCUCUUUUCUUGAGAGCUCACGAUGUCCCAGGCAGUGUACUGUGCACUGCAAAUUGCAGGCUUGUGACCACUGUGCUGCACUGUCCCACUACGGACUGCCUGCAUUCUGCAAGCAGAAGAGAGAAAUUGGACAGAGAAGGAAAGGGAGGGGAAGAGGGCCCAGGAGUAGAAAAUCAAGAUACUGAGAUGCCCCUGAAAUCAAAAAGAAAACAGUUUCAAGGGAGAGCCAUGGUCAUCAGUGCCGAAUGCUACCGAAAAGUCAAGGAGGAUAAAAACUGAGCAGAAAUGACUGAUUGGGGACUAAGAAGUCACGGUGACCGUUGGUAGCAACUUCAGUUGAGAAGCAUCAGAGAAAGUCAUAUUCUAAGGGAUUAAGGAAUGAGUGGGUUAUGAGAAAGUAGAGGACCAUUGAGUGUAGAUGCUUUUUUUGAGAAUUUUGGUAAUAAAAGGGGAAAUGAGUGCUGGUGGUUCAAGAUGAGAGCAAUUUAGGAUUUUUUUUUUUUUUUUUUUUU